CCAUCUCGUCGGAGCUCCACUGAGCUGCUCCGGCCCCCCUGGCAAUCGGGGAUCCGUGCCCGGGAAGCCUCGUCCAUCAGCGCUGUGGGACACCCGCGUGUGCCCCGGGGCGCAGGGACCGCCGAGAGCCGGGAGCUGCAGGAGGAGAAAGAAGCGUCUGGGAAAGGCUCCCGGCAGCAUGGAAAGCGAGAUCCCCAGGCACUGCGGGGCCCGCAGGGCGCUGUCGCUCCGCUUCUGUGUCCUGUGUCCUCCCAUUUCCCUCCUCUUUCCAUUCCCUUUCCCACAACGCUGUGUUUUCUCUCUUCUCCCCUCUACCUGCUUUUUCCAUCUCUCUAGAACCAGCCCCCUGUCCCCGUCUCCCAGGUGCUUCCUCUCUCUGACUGUAACUCUUUUCUCAUUCUCCAUCUCUCUCUGUCCAGCUCCCAGCUGCCAUUUUUGCAUUCCUCCCUGCCUGUCUCUGUAGCCCCUCGGUAUUUCUGCUUUGUCUCUCUCUGUCUGGCAUCUUGUCAUCGUUAUCAAGCUCUUCUUUCUGGACCCUGUAGUGCGUCACGAGGGUAUUUCUUUCUCCAUCUUUCUUGAUCCUGUACCCCGUCUCUCACUUUGAAUUCCUCUCUCUCUGCCCUGUCACCCGUAGCCCUUGGCUGUGCAAAGAGAAGACCCUGGGCCUGGUCAAGCUGUCUGUCAGCGCUUGACACACGUGGCCUUGGAGCGGCGAAGAUGGUUCCAAGGUGAGGUGGUUGUUGUCUCAAAGUCUCCUGCGGCACCUCAGGGAAGCGUUUCUCCCGGGCUUUGCAGGCCCUCUGUGGGCAGCUCUUGGAAUUGGAGGAGCGUUUGAGGCUCGCUGCAGUGACCGACACCGGAAUCGAUGCAGAGCAGGUGAGUGGAAGGCUUUUGAGAUGAUGAAGAAGAACCUGACAACUGCAGGAAUAUCCCAGCUGCAGCUUCUGUCGAGGAUGGAUUCAGACCCGUGGCCCUCUGAAAGCUCCAUCGAGGGACCAAGGACAGAAAACAUGGGGGCAAAGUGGAGAAACUUGGAAAUAAAGGGGGAAAACUUGGAAGAGAAAAAGCUGAAAUAAAGGGAAACUGGGAAAUAAAAAGUGGAAAGCCUUGGAAAUAAACUGGAGAACUUGGAAAUAAAAAGAGGAAACUGAGAAAGAAAUUGGAACUCUAGGAAAUAAAGGGGAAAAGAUGGUAAAGAAAAUGUAAAACUUGGAAAUAAAGGGGGACAUGGGUACUGGAGGGAGAACACUGGGAAAUAAAGGGCAAAAGUGGGAAAUGGAGGGUGAAAACUAUGCAAUAAUGGGCAAAACUUCAUAGGGCAAAUAAAGUGCAAAA